AGUGAACGCUGGCGGUAGGCCUAACACAUGCAAGUCGAACGGCAGCACAGUAAGAGCUUGCUCUUACGGGUGGCGAGUGGCGGACGGGUGAGGAAUACAUCGGAAUCUACUUUUUCGUGGGGGAUAACGUAGGGAAACUUACGCUAAUACCGCAUACGACCUACGGGUGAAAGCAGGGGAUCUUCGGACCUUGCGCGAUUGAAUGAGCCGAUGUCGGAUUAGCUAGUUGGCGGGGUAAAGGCCCACCAAGGCGACGAUCCGUAGCUGGUCUGAGAGGAUGGUCCGCCACACUGGAACUGAGACACGGUCCAGACUCCUACGGGAGGCAGCAGUGGGGAAUAUUGGACAAUGGGCGCAAGCCUGAUCCAGCCAUACCGCGUGGGUGAAGAAGGCCUUCGGGUUGUAAAGCCCUCUUGUUGGGAAAGAAAAGCAGCAGGUUAAUACCCCGCUGUUCUGACGGUACCCAAAGAAUAAGCACCGGCUAACUUCGUG
rnacentral:rRNA from 1 species